CCGGCCUUGGCCUCCCAAAGUGCUGAGAUUACAGGUGUGAACCACCACACCCCACCAGGAUACAGUAUUUUUUUAAAAAGCACAUCCAGCCUUGGAUGGAAAACCACUUGAGGAGAGUAUGUUGUCUUAUUGGGUUCUGUAAAUACCUUACCUCUGCACAAGGCUGGAACUUUGAGAGGAGUCCUUGGCUAAAGCUCUCAUUGCUACAUGGCGACCUUUCAUCCCUCUCCUGCUUAAAGCUUAUGUUUCCUAAUUUUGACCUCAAUGCAUCUGUAUUGAAAGCCAGGCUUGGUCUGUCAUCCUAGGACUCUGUGUCGGUCCCUUUCCUUGCCUAUAAGUUGAGUUGGGGCUCAUCUUUGUGCCUCUGGAAAGUAAGUUCUUUGAUAGCUUGCUUAGAGUCUCUCAGUACUUUCCCUUGCCCUUAGAAUGAAUACUAAAAUAUGUGGCCUUCAGUGUAGACUGCUCAGGCCCCCUCUUGGUUCCUGGAGUCUGCCAUACUUCCUUUUACCACCAGGCCUUUGCACAUGCUGUUGUCUGCUGGGAAUGCCUUGCCUUUCCUCGUCAUUUAGUUCUCCUCUACUCAUCUUUCAGGCACUAGAUUGACUGUCUUCCUCGGGGGAGCCUUCUCUGACCUUGGUACACAAGAUCAGCCCCCGUGUGCUGACUUUGUCUCACUGAAUCCUUGCCCGGAGUCCAGCGCCUCCUUCCUGUCCAGGAUCACCUUCUGGUGGAUCACAGGAGUUGUCUUGAAUCUGCCUGUGCUGGCCAUGUAGUCUCAGAGACACCAACUCUGUCCCCCAAGUCCAUCACCUUGAAUGUGAUAAACACAUGAGCCAUAAGCAGCUUAAAUCUCUGCGGAAGGCUUGGCCUGGGACAGCCAUACACUGGACUGCUCUUACUUUAGCUUCAGAUUUGGGUUUUUAUUUCUUGCCUGGACAUCAUGUUCAAUCUGACAGAUUUCGUUUUUUUUUAAAUAUUAGGUAUAGUGGCCGGGCGCGGUGGCUCAAGCCUGUAAUCCCAGCACUUUGGGAGGCCGAGGCGGGUGGAUCA